rnacentral:tRNA from 1 species
ACUUUCAAUGGACAAAAGUCGUC